rnacentral:tRNA from 1 species
UCCCAGGUGGUCUAGUGGUUAGAUUCGUGGCUCUCACCCACGCGGCCAUGUUUGAUUCCCGGUCUGGGAA